CCCAGUGGUUCAAAAUGGUCAUGAUAUAUCCAUUCUGGGCUUUGGUGCAGGUGUCUGUUGUAAUGUGAUCUUUCUUUGUCUUGAGGGACUUUGACAUCCUCAUUUCCCACUUGGAGCAUCAUGCAAUUUGAGUGUACACCGAGCUGAAAAGUGAUUCCUGUAAGGGGGAUUCAGUUUCUCCUUCACAUGUUUUCAGAGCAGUCAGAAUGUUUUCCUUCCCACAGAUAUGGAACACAGGAGGCUACUUGUUGAUAGGUUUUAUGACUGAUGAGGCUAACACUGCCUUACUUGCUACUCCGUUUUGUAUUUUCACGGGUGGGAAGAGGUUCAGGGAGCAAGUUAGAAAACCGUGGAAAUCUUUCAAUCAGAAAACUGUCCUCUCCUCUAAUCUUUCUUGUUACUUCCUCAUCAGACCCUCACUUUCUGUUCCAGAGUUCUUAGAUGAUUAACUACUCUCACUUUUGAAAACCAGAGAUGUGAGAGAGAUCACACUUGAGAUUUUAUUAUUACCUUUGAUUUUGCAAAUUAGUUCACAUGGGUAGGAAGGUCUGUGAAGAUCAAUAUGUGUUUUAUAAAGUCACACGGUGGUUGGUGGUUACUCGGAUCUAUGUCUUACGGUCAGUCUGCUCCAUGUAUUUAAAUUGUCCAUUAGGAAUCUGGAGCAACAGCCCUAGCCUCCUAAGUCCUGAAGGGGUGAAGGAUUGUGUGCCACUCUCUCUGGAGCCACUUCUGAAGUUGCAAAGGCGGUCAGCUGAGACUUUAACCCUACCAAAAACUGGGAUCCAGUUUCCCUGGGUGAGCCCCAGGAACCCACAAGCCUUUCUCUUCGAUGAUGCCUAGACCCUGCUCAUACCCUGCAAAGCAUUUUACAUGGAAUUCUACCCAGAGCAUCAGCUACCAACUGAGUCAUCCAACAUGCCUCACUGAGGAGUCUACUGGUUACUCUGACUGCUGGCAAGAUAUGCAGGCCCCAAAAGUAGACCAUUAUGAGUAAAUCCUAUAUCCUGGAAAAUAAUUUUAUUCUUCUUUGUGGCAAUGCAAACCAAGUUAGAGCUCAGGUUCCACUCUGCUAUUCCUCCCACUAACCCAUCUACGCAGCUUCCUGGGGAGUUAUUUUACCUGUGACCACUUUCGUUCAUGCAAUGAAUUUAGCAGACGCUUGUUGAAGGCCUCCUUUGUUCCAGAAGCUUUGCCAUGUGCUCCCUUAUUGCCUACAGAUUCUAAGAGCAGGUACUCUGAAAUUUUGGGAUUAAAAUU